AAGUGAUUAUCCUCCUCUCUCCUACUCUGCAAGAUCGUUACCAUAAGGUGAGAGGGAACGAUCGGUCCAAAAUAUCUCACAUCCGAGAGGUUUGGUGUUAACCACUGAUGAUGACAUCGCUCUAGCUGCAUGCCCUCCAGAGUGUGCAAGCCUGACUCCCCCAGUCCAAAAGAGCGCAUCUCAUGCUGGAAGAAGUCUACUAUCAUGCUCCCAAGAGAUCAGACAAAUAAUUUUUUUUUAUCAUUCCACUGAAUUUUCUGAUGAACAAAUUAUGAUCCAUGUGUACUAUAAUAUCCAAAUUCCUUCUACCGCUUCUCCAUAGUUUCCGUUGUAAUAAACUCAUUGCCUGUUAUCAGGUUUUGAUCAUGAAACAAACCAUUAUGUAUAUAUGUUUGAAUAUUGGAUUGGGCACAAUUACAUUAAUUUGUUAAGGAUGAAA